UAGGCAAAUCCGGUACUCGUUAAGGCUGAGCUGUGAUGGGGAGAAGACAUUGUGUCUUCGAGUCGUUGAUUUCACACUGCCGAGAAAAGCCUCUAGAUAGAAAAUAGGUGCCCGUACCGCAAACCGACACAGGUAGUCAAGAUGAGAAUUCUAAGGUGAGCGAGCGAACUCUCGUUAAGGAACUCGGCAAAAUGACCCCGUAACUUCGGGAGAAGGGGUGCUCUUUAGGGUUAACGCCCAGAAGAGCCGCAGUGAAUAGGCCCAAGCGACUGUUUAUCAAAAACACAGGUCUCUGCUAAACCGUAAGGUGAUGUAUAGGGGCUGACGCCUGCCCGGUGCUGGAAGGUUAAGAGGAGUGGUUAGCUUCUGCGAAGCUACGAAUCGAAGCCCCAGUAAACGGCGGCCGUAACUAUAACGGUCCUAAGGUAGCGAAAUUCCUUGUCGGGUAAGUUCCGACCCGCACGAAAGGCGUAACGAUUUGGGCACUGUCUCAACGAGAGACUCGGUGAAAUCAUAGUACCUGUGAAGAUGCAGGUUACCCGCGACAGGACGGAAAGACCCCGUGGAGCUUUACUGUAGCCUGAUAUUGAAAUUCGGCACAGCUUGUACAGGAUAGGUAGGAGCCUUUGAAACGUGAGCGCUAGCUUACGUGGAGGCGCUGGUGGGAUACUACCCUAGCUGUGUUGGCUUUCUA
rnacentral:rRNA from 1 species